GUUCAUAAAAAAAGGAGAGACAAUUGGCAUAUCCCUUGAUAAGGAUAGGAACACUCCUUGGACUAUUCCUUCUCAUAUGACUAAGGCUAUUCGUCAGUGACAAAUCUUACCUAAAUUUUUAU